rnacentral:rRNA from 1 species
UACGAAGGGGGCUAGCGUUGCUCGGAAUCACUGGGCGUAAAGGGUGCGUAGGCGGGUCUUUAAGUCAGGGGUGAAAUCCUGGAGCUCAACUCCAGAACUGCCUUUGAUACUGAGGAUCUUGAGUACGGGAGAGGUGAGUGGAACUGCGAGUGUAGAGGUGAAAUUCGUAGAUAUUCGCAAGAACACCAGUGGCGAAGGCGGCUCACUGGCCCGUUACUGACGCUGAGGCACGAAAGCGUGGGGAGCAAACAGG